GCGCCGGUAGCUCAGGGGAUAGAGCAACUGCCUCCUAAGCAGUAGGUCGAAGGUUCGAUUCCUUCUCGGCGCGCCA
rnacentral:tRNA from 1 species